rnacentral:lncRNA from 1 species
UACAAAUGUGGUUCGUCUGCCCUAUAAAUAGAUGAACAGUGUCAUACAUAUAGUACCUUUUAAAGGGCCAUAGCUUCAUGUCGCUUAGCCUUCGAAGAACCUUUGUGCAUCCCUUUGUCCAAGAGCCGAAGGUAUGCUUGUAAAUUUAUCUAUUGUAGUGAAAGAUGUAAUAAGAAUGCUAAUACAAAAGGAGAUAAGUUCUCAAACAUUACUGUAUUGUUUCACCGUACAUCCUUUCCAUUACAUUUCUAUCUGAGGUCCUUCGUCCUUCGAAUUAACACUCCAAAGAAGGUGUUAUACUUAGGAAGAAGAUCUUUAUACCUAAUUUGUGUUGCUUUAAUUCUCAACGUCUCUAGGGGAUUGAAAUCAAGUACUCAACACAUACAUAAUAACUGCAACAUAACAACUAGGUAAUAUAGAAACUGUAUGAAACAUAUAUAAUAAGUGUACAAAACAUUCAUAUAUUAUACAAUUUCAUACAAGAAUAAAUUGAAGUUAUGAUCUUCGAUGUUCCAUCAUUGUGGGGGAAGCAUUUUUCAUCCUGCUUUCCCUUGACAUAUGUUGGGGGCUUGUUACUGCGUGUAGUGCGACAAACUGCAGAUGGUUGAGUGCCCGCAGGUGUAACAUGACACUUUUUCUUGUGGGAUUGGAUGGGGGAAUGUGGGGGUCAGCAAAUGAAAUGCGACGUUUGUCUUUUGGUGGAGGCAUACAAUCAUCAUCAGUACUUAUUGUUCCAAUAGGUGUAGCACGCACCUUUUGUUCUAGUUUUUUUUCUUCCACGACAAGCUAGCGCUUUCCUGCAACGACGGAGGUCUUGGGUUUUCUGAGGAUCCACAGGCUGCUUCACCUCUAGCUAUGUGUAUUCAUGCACUCCAGGUGAUUCUGGACUAAAGUUGACUCUAGUUGGACGAGGGAUGUCGACAGAAAAUACUUCCUAGCUUGACUCGAUUGUGAUUCACUUGGCGUUUGGUGGAGGACGGUCUACUGUCUUCAUGAUCUGCAUUUAUUGAACAAUACUUCCACUACAGUUGGGAUAAAAUGAUAUGGAUGCCAUAAUAAUAGGAAAACUAUUUGUUGGGGGCCUUCGGCUUCCGAAGGUCCUCAAAAACAUGAUUUAACAAUGUUUCUGGAGAAUGAUACAUGAACAGGUACCUUCGGAAUUAGGUCAAAACCACAGUCUGAAGAAGCACAAAGAAUACGAAGGAUGGCGCAGAGCCGAAGCUGUUCGCAGGAGAGCUUCGGCGUGAUAGCAGAAAAGGAAACUGACUUAAAGGGGGAAAGACUAUUUAGACCCCAAUGAAUUACUAUAGAGUUAUUAGCAAAUGUAAAGGGCAUGGGUGUAAUUUUACAUGGGCUGCGUCCCGUGCCUAUAAAUAGAUGAACAGUGCUCCCGUACUGUUCACGCUGACUUGGCAUUUGCUUUUGCGUCACAUUUGUACUUUUGUUCUCUUUUAAGCCGAAGGUACACUUGUAAUUUAAUGUCAUUUCUAUUCUAUGUUAAUAAAAUAGAAAUGAGUUAAUAAUAAUAUAUAAAUGUUCCUCAUAUCUUUCGUACAUCAUGCAUUUAACAUUUUCACUAUCAUAUGCCGUAAUGAUGAAGGUAUGUCCUUCAUGACCUUCGUCUGAAAAUCAUUAUCUCUCAAGGGAAAUAAUGCUUCGAAGGACGAAGGACUUUAAUAUUUAACAUUUUCUGUGUUGCCUUGUUCUUAACUGAUAGCAUUUGAGAACAAGUCCCCAACAUUGGCGCCCACCUCUGGUGAACCCUUUUUUGACCACCUUCGGCAAGCAUCGACCUUCGUCAUGCCGCCAAAGAAAGCUUCAGCAACAGGGCCUGCUGCUCUGCAGCCGCUGGACCCAAACCAGGAGACCCUUUCUCUUCGGGAAGCACGAAGCUAGAAGAGGAAUGCCACCAGUCCAACGCCUUAGGAGGAUGAUUUGGACCAAGAAAUUAGGAACAUGGAAAUGCUGCAUCAACAAGUGCAAAGGAAGAAAGAAAAGAUGGCCCGGCUAGCCGACCUAUAAAAGUAGAUAGACGAAGCCUCUAAAGAAGUUCGUCAUCUUACGCAAGAUGAGCAGAACCGGAGGCCCCAGUACAGAGAGCUUCACCAAGAGGGCUUCAUCAACGAGGAUGACUGGUAUGAGGAUUUCCAUCAGGCCCCGUUUGUUUCCUUUCAUUUCGAGGAAUUGGAAUCUUACUAAUGGAAUAAGCUAUUUUUUUAGAAUAUGACAUUCCACCACUUUCCAAAGUUAUCAUAUAAGCCUACCUCAAAUUCAUGGGUUGAGAUAUGGAAAUUGAUUCUAUAGAUUUACAUGUUAUUUUUCCGAUGUACAACUUAUAGCACAUUCUUCUACUUACGCCUCUAUAACAUAAAUGUAGUAUAUAACUAUCUCUCUCAUAUGAUUUAGGAUAAUAUACAAAUAUAUUACAUAUAUAAAUAUAUAAACUUAAUUAGUUUUGUCUAAAUUAUAAUUAUUAAAAUGGAAUUCAAUUCCAACGAAACAAACGGGCCCUCAUGGAAAUUUUGCUUUUGAUGAUGCUUGUCCUCUGUCAGCAGAACUGCAGGCUACACCUUGGCCCCCGUCUUACAAACCACCUCAGCUCCCAAUGUAUGACGGACACUCAGAUCCGAAGCAAUUUCUGAUGAGCUACGAAGCAACCAUAUCUUCAUAUGGUGGCAAUACUGCAGUCAUGGCGAAGUCCUUCGUCAUGGCAGUCAAAAGUGUUGAACAGACCUGGUACUCUUCUCUUCGGCCAGGGACAAUCACAUCGUGGCAAAAGCUGAAGGACGUGCUCAUCACCAGCUUUCAAGGGUUUCAGACGAAACCGGUCACUGCUCAAGCUUUGUUCCAGUGCUCUCAGGAUCAUGAAGAAUACCUUCAGGCGUAUGUCCGAAGGUUCUUACGACUGAGGGCGCAGGCGCCAACAGUGCCUAAUGAAAUUGUUAUCGAGGCCAUGAUUAAGGGGCUUCGGCCAGGACCUACAGCCCAAUAUUUCGCCAGGAAACCCCCUCAGACCCGGGAGAAACUGCUUCAGAAGAUGGAUGAAUAUAUCCGAGCAGAUAAUGACUUUCGGCAAAGGAGGGAGGAAGCUUACAGGUUCUCCGAAAUGACCAGGGGCUUCGGAGGGAGAAUCCACCCUAGGCACGUCAGAUCUAUCCAUUCUACUCAGACUGACGAUAGGGGGAGUCAGCAACAAAGGUCGCAGUAUUCCUCUCAAGCUUCGGGGCAGCAGCAGAACUAUCCUCGGCCUCCAGCUCCAAGGGGCAGAGGCGUCAGGGGCUUCGGAGAAAGGUUUGGGGAUCAGCCCAGGAAAAUUUACUACCUAUUCUGCGGUGAGGACAAGGGACAUACUACCAGGAUGUGCCAUGUCACCAUUCAAAAACAGAAAGAGAUAGCCGAAGCUGCAACACAACAGAGCCAGCCGAAGCAGGUUAUGCAUACUGCUUCGUACACCAUACAUCCCAGAGUAUGUGGGUAACCAUCCUGCAGUUUCUGUUGCUUCGGCAAGCAAACCUCAGGCAUCUUGGCAACAACCCCCACCUCCACCACCAAUGCAACUCGCUUAUCCCCAAGGCCAGCAGCCAGAAGGGAGCCAACAGCCAGAAGGGAGCCAGCACAAUCACCAGCAGAGAGACUUUAGGGAGCAGUCUGAAGCUCGCACAGUCAACAGUACUGUGCCAGAAUCAAAUCACAUCUACUAAGAUGUAUCCUACCUCUGAAACACCUUUUACAUUUGUUAUCAUUUACCUUUUCAAUAAAGAGCAAUCAUUGAGAUCUUAUUUCUUUUGUUGUUUUCAAUUUAUUGUAAUUGCUUUGUCAUUAUCAUAAUGAAUAUACCUUCUUCAAACAUCGACGAAGCUCUAAAGGUCUUGACGAAGGAAUGCAUUGCAAGUUUUUGUUGAAGCAACAAAAGUCGUUCUUAAGGGGACGCAGCGUAAGUUUUCUGCUCAAAAGUCGUUCCAAAGGGAAUGCAGAGCUUACAGCGAAAAAUAAACGCUGAUAUCGUCGAAAUAAAAGGCGAAGAAGCACCUAAGGGAGGCUUACAGCGAAAAAUAAACGCUGAUACCGCCGAAAUAAAAGGCGAAGAAGCUCCUAAGAGAGGCAUACAGCGAAAAAUAAACGCUGAUACCGCCGAAAUAAAAGGCGAAGAAGCUCCUAAGAGAGGCAUACAGCGAAAAAUAAACGCUGAUACCGCCGAAAUAAAAGGCGAAGAAGCUCCUAAGGGAGGCUUAUAGCGAAAAGUCAACGCUGAUACCACCGAAAAAUAAACGGCAAAAAGAUUGUGUGCUCCACUGGGGAAUGUGUGUGGGCCUUCGGCGCAAAUAUCAUUUUUGCAUGUCAUUACAUCAUUACAUCAUAUGCAUAGCAUAGCAUCAUACAUCAUAUUGCAUCAAUGGCACAAGAAGGGGAUGCAAUGUUAACCUUCGGAAAGGAAGACAAUGUUGACUUACAAUAUUGAGCUUCAGAGAUCGUUUCGAAGAAGUGCCAAGGCACAAAACAAGUUUUCAAGGAAUACAACUUCGUCAUUUUAAUAUGAAAAGGAGAUCCAUUGUUCACAAAGCAUAAUAUUUUUUCGGAAACUGUAUAUAUUUACGGAAUAUGGAUAUUCUUCAUGAAGCAUGAAAAGAAGGGAAGGUGUUUUUUCGCCGAAGGCUCAAAAACGGUAUGUACGUAAAGUUUCAUGCAUCGUAAAGAGUUGAAUUGUAAACAGCUUAUAUAUUACAUUCAUAAUUAUAAAAUAUUACACACAUUGUCCAGCAAAACAUUACAUUUCAAAUGUCUUCAAAAUAACAGCUAAUCUUCUCUUAAAACUACUUCGACAGCUUCGUUUAAUAGUUGAUCAACAACUUUAUCCAUAAUAACUUCGACCAUUUUCUAUUCGUCAUCCUCCUUUGCUUUGGGGUUCGCCAAUGGCUCGGCGGGCUCUGGGGGAGGAGAUAGUAAGGCUGUAAUGCAAACCAUAAAUAAGUUCGAAGUCAUAAAAUUAGAACAUAAAGUCAAAAGCUAUUAAUUAAUACCUAUUCGACUCUCAAGAUCCGCACUUUUCUCAGCGGCCUCUGCUACUUUUCUAGCAUCGUGAAUACCUUUUUCACUUUUCCUUAUAAUUUCUUGAGCCAUCUCCCGACCGCCAUUUUCCCAGAUGUCAGUGAAAAUUUUUCCACCAACCAAGCUUGCUUCGGCUGAGGGGUCUUUUAUACCAUCAAUGCAUAAGGCAACCUCGGUCUGUGCCAAGGAUUUCACAUGUUCGCAGCCUCUCCUCUCCAAGAUAGCGGCUAUUCCCCUAGCACCCGAGAAGGCGCAUAUGUCCCCACGGCCACUCAAAAUUUCUUCAAAAGCUUCGGCCUCGCCGUUGAUCCAGUCAAUUGGACCUUCGGGGUCUCCCAGUACGAAGUUGCCUUCAUUCGAAUAUGCGCCGACACUGGCGAAACUAGUCUUAAUUGUUUUCACACAUUUCAUGGAUUUUUCAUAACAUCUUUCUUUUGAAGACCGAAGUUCUGCAGUUGUUUUCUCCCAAUGAUUUUUCCAAUAAUCGCUGGCGUCUCGGUCAGCUUCGGCAAUUGUACACUUUAGUUUCGCUACAGCCAGCUGUUUCUGAAGAUUUUCAAUUUCACACUUCUAGGCUUCAGCUUGGGCCUUGGAAGCAGCUUCGUCUUCUUUUAUUUUACUAAGCAAUGAGUUUAAUAUUUUAUCUUUCUCAAGACCUUCGUUCCUUAGCUCAAUCACUUCGGAACGAAGGUUAUUCAACGCCAUGGUACAUCCCUCGUCUUCAGCGCUUUUCUGCGAUCUGAGGGCAUUGCUAAGAAUAAGGCCCUGUAAAAGGAAUAUGGUAUUAAAAAUAAGCACACAAAUUUUUAAGCAUACAGAAAGUUUAUUUUCUCACCUUUAAGCUGUUGUACGCCAAGCUGUCGGCCAAAUCAUCUUUUGACAACACUGAGAGCCCGUCUUCUAGUGUUGGGAAUCCGAAUCUUCUUGUCAUCUCCCGGCAGACAAAUAUCUCCUUGCUGUCUGGGAGACAGUAUAAGAAGUCUUCUUCUCCGCUGCCAUUGAAAAUCAACGCCCCCUUUGGAUAUUUCAAUUUUUGGGCAUAGAACUGAGCCUCUUGCUUUUCUUUUUCAGUCAACUUUUUCCCCGAAGCAUGUCGUAAAAUAUAAUUGAAAGCUUCGAAAAAUGCUUCGGGGGCGACAGUGCCAGUUUCUUCAGCCAAAAUUUGUUCUGCUACUUCUGUUUCUUUGGUUUCCAAGGAUUUCACAUUGGUGGGCUCUGAAGGACCAGCUUCAGUCUCAGCUUGGUGCUUUGUAGUUUCGGCACUAAAGGCUUCAAUUUGCACUUCGGGGGUUUCGACAAUUUUCUUCGUAGUAGUGCUUGAAGACUUUAUUGUCUCCAGCACAUCCAGAACGUUGACCAUUCUUUUUCUUUUGGGGUCACCGCUGGUCCUUUCUGAGUUUGUGGCGCUCCAACUUCUGCCGAAGGGCUUAAAAUAUCUGAUAUUUUUGUCCCUUCAGCUUUCAGCUCUUCAAUUCUUUCAGCCUUCGGUGUUGCAGUCAGCUCUUCAGUUUUCUGCGCAGGUAUAGGUUUUUUUGGCUUUAGUAGCCGAAGAAGCCUCGCCGACAAACUCGAGCACUAUAGCCGGUUCAAUAAAGCGCGGUCGGUGAGUAAGGACUUUUAUCCUUUUCCUCUUCGGCACAGGCUCGCUUGGAGCAGCUGAAGCAUCGUCUUUCCCGGAAGUUGCCUCUUUUCUCUUUCGCCCCCGUAAAGGGUAGCGGUAGUCAGGGUACACAAACCCAAUAGCAUCAAAAACUCGGUUUAAUCUUUUCUUCUUUCGGCCUCCGAAGGUCGCGGAUAACACAGUAUCUUCUGCCUUUGAGUAUGGCCCAAGCAAUUCAUCGCUUGUAGCUUUAAUACAUUUCAGCCAAUCAUCAUCUGGCUCGACAAAUUUACCCUCGUAUAUGAAGGUGAACUUCAUCCUAAUCAGUCCACCUUCGUCAGGCUUGGUGAUAGUUUCUUUUGGCAUUUCCCACUUUUCUACAAGUGGCCAAACUCUGAAAGCUAUGUGCUCUUGGACUAAAUCCCUCGUUCCGAUGAAAGAGCAGACUACGCCGAAGGCCCUCUGGCAUUCUUCGACUGCUUCGUCAACAAUCACCUUCGGCUUCCUAAGGCCGAAGCGCUGCCAGAUAGGACGCAUGAUAAUAUCUUUGAUGUCUUCUCGUGCCUUUAAAUCAUUUUUUACGUAAAACCAUUCCUUCAUCCAGUCCCCAGGCCAUCUUUUCUGGAAGGUUGGCACGGGACAGCUCGAGCCAGAGCGAGAGACGAAGAUAUAACAGCCAAAAUUGUUAUGAUAUUGCUCUUUGCCCCAGGGCUUUGUCUCAUAUAACAAUUCAUGCAUAUUGCAAAAGCUUUUUGUACUUGGCUCCAAGCCCUGGCUCCUCACGGCCCAGACGAAGAUUCUCAUUCUUAUGAUUGCUUCGGGCGUAAUUUGAUGAAGGAAGACUUGAUAGAUCUUUAAAACAUCAACCACAAAUUUGCUUAAUGGAAACCGAAGCCCAGCUUUAAAAAAGCUUCGGAAGAUCACAACUUCAUUCUCUUCGGGAGUAGGCACAGUCCUUUCUCCGUCAUCAGCCCUUACAGUAGACAUGUCCCGAAAAUAUCUUCCCCUCAUAUUAUCGAGAUGACUCUGUUUAAUAGUUGAUUUUCUAAAAACUGCAUGACUUGGUCGCCAGGGUCGAUCUUCGGAGUCUUCUCCGCCACUUUCCACAUCAUAACUGUCACUAUCACCAGUGUCUUCAGAUAAACCUUCUAAAAUCUCCCUGGUAAUCUUCUCUGUAUUUGUCUUUGCUAUCAAUUCAAUAAAGCCAAGAUUUUUCUCCUCAGAAAGGCUCGACUUCAUUUCAGCAAUAGCUUUUUUGUCUUGAGACAUCUUCGGAAAUGUUGAAAGCGUGCUCUUAAAAGCCGAAGCUAAAGAAAAUCUAAAAAGCCAGGCAAGCGUUGGUGUGCAAAGAACUAAAAAUUAGGAAGGCAAGAGCAGACGACAAUAAAGCGUGCUAAAUGUGCUCGCGGUGCGCUCUUAUUUAUACGCCCAAUACGUUGCAAGUGGCAGGGUCCCGCUUCUCAUUGACUAUUGUUAUUCUAGCAAAGGGAAGGUGUUUUUUCGGACCUUCGGCUUAAGGCCUUCGUCUAUAUCGUAAUCUGAAUUUAUCAUUCUAACAAAUUAAUAUUGCGAGGGGCUACUGUUGGGGGCCUUCGGCUUCCGAAGGUCCUCAAAAACAUGAUUUAACAAUGUUUCUGGAGAAUGAUACAUGAACAGGUACCUUCGGAAUUAGGUUAGAACCACAGUCUGAAGAAGCACAAAGAAUACGAAGGAUGGCGCAGAGCCGAAGCUGUUCGCAGGAGAGCUUCGGCGUGAUAGCAGAAAAGAAAACCGACUUAAAGGGGAAAAGGCUAUUUAGACCCCGAUGAAUUACUAUAGAGUUAUUAGCAAAUGUAAAGGGAUGAGUGUAAUUUUACAUGGGCUGCGUCCCGUGCCUAUAAAUAGAUGAACAGUGCUCACGUACUGUUCACGCUGACUUGACAUUUGCUUUUGCGUCACAUUUGUACUUUUGCUCUCUUUAAAGUCGAAGGUACACUUGUAAUUUAAUGUCAUUUCUAUUCUAUGUUAAUAAAAUAGAAAUGAGUUAAUAAUAAUAUAUAAAUGUUCAUGAUAUCUUUCGUACUUCAUGCAUUUAACAUUUUCACUAUCAUAUGCCGUAAUGAUGAAGGUAUGUCCUUCAUGACCUUCGUCUGAAAAUCAUUAUCUCUCAAGGGAAAUAAUGCUUCGAAGGACGAAUGACUUUAAUAUUUAACAUUUUCUGUGUUACCUUGUUCUUAACUGAUAGCAUUUGAGAACAAGUCCCCAACACUAUCAUUGAUUAGAUACAUUUAUAUUAGACAAAAUGUAUUCUCAAUGCAUAAUAAAAAGGACAUAAAUUUUUUGGUUCAGUGAAUGCAAUUCAAUUGUGCAUGACGUGUUUGUCUCUGACUGCAUGAAUCUAGAAUAAUUCCCAUAACAAAAAUGCUACAAAAAAUCACUUGAACGAGAAAAUUGUGCAUAUCUGAAAUAAAAAAUAGGAAACCCUAUCUUCGCAAUGAAUAGUGUGGAAACCCCAUCAAUUGCUCUAGGUAUAUAUAAACUACAUGAAUGAGUAUAUAUACUGUAAACCCUAACCAUAAACUAUUUUGGAAAAAAUCAAUACCAAGUGUACAAAAUUCACGUAAUUAAUUAGCUGAUAGACUUCAUUAAUCAUAAAACCAAACAUGCAUUGUUACUGUCGACACAAAACAAAAUAUAUGGGUGUUUUCUAGUUUGGGGAAAACUACAUAAUUGAAUGAUAGAUUUGGAUUUGUAUUUUAAUUUACCCAAAAAUACUUACCUGAUACUUAAUGACUAUAGUUUGGCCCAUGGUAUGUACACUACCGAUAAGUAUAUAUAUUGUAAACCUAACCAUAAAAAGUGGGGGAAUUGCAAAACCGAGUGAAAGCAAUUAAUUUGGUUGCUAUUUUUCGUUAAUCAUCAAACCAAACACACAUUGUUACUCCGCCACCCUAAUGAAACAAAAAAAGAGUAUUAAUCUCUAGGGCGGGAUGGGUUUUUCUAAAAAAACAACCGAAUCGAUGAAUAUGGGACUGAUUUGUGUUUCAGAUAGGUUGAAGUUAGGGUUUGGUGAUGGUGGCAAGCUUAGAAUAUAAUGGAGAAAAAAAUACCUUCAAUGCGCGCGGCUCAGUGGGCCUUAUUGCUCGGUGGGGGGUUGGGAUGAAAGGGUCGAUCAGCCUCAACCAGGGCUUCUCAGACGGCCUCCGAUGCUACAAUGCGCGUGGCUUGGAGGUUGAAGACGGUGGCGGAAGUCGAAUCGUCUGUCCGUCUCCUGGUCCAUCACCUGGUCGCAACCGCCUCCGACUGGGGUCGUGGCCUCGUGGGUUUGCAGCGAAUGGAAAGAAGGAAACCGCG